GCAUAUCAAUAAGCGGAGGAAAAGAAACCAACAGGGAUUGCCUCAGUAACGGCGAGUGAAGCGGCAAAAGCUCAAAUUUGAAAUCUGGUACCUUCGGUGCCCGAGUUGUAAUUUGAAGGUAGUUUUCUGGUGCUGGUCCUUGUCUAUGUUCCUUGGAACAGGACGUCAUAGAGGGUGAGAAUCCCGUCUGAUGGGGAAUCCAGUGCUUUGUAGAUUUCUACCGACGAGUCGAGUUGUUUGGGAAUGCAGCUCUAAGUGGGUGGUAAAUUCCAUCUAAAGCUAAAUAUUGGCGAGAGACCGAUAGCGAACAAGUACAGUGAUGGAAAGAUGAAAAGAACUUUGAAAAGAGAGUGAAAAAGUACGUGAAAUUGUUGAAAGGGAAGGGUAUUAGAUCAGACUUGGUGUUUUGUGAUUAUCUUCCCUUCUUGGGUUGUGCACUCGCAUUUCACUGGGCCAGCAUCGGUUUGGAUGGCAAGAUAAUGGCGAAGGAACGUGGCACUCCUCGGAGUGUGUUAUAGCCUUUGUUGAUGUUGCCUAUCUAGACCGAGGACUGCGGCUUCUGCCUAGGAUGCUGGCGUAAUGAUCUAAUACCGCCCGUCUUGAAACACGGACCAAGGAGUCUAACGUCUAUGCGAGUGUUUGGGUGUAAAACCCGUACGCGUAAUGAAAGUGAACGUAGGUGAGAGCCCCUCGGGGCGCAUCAUCGACCGAUCCUGAUGUCUUCGGAUGGAUUUGAGUAAGAGCAUAGCUGUUGGGACCCGAAAGAUGGUGAACUAUGCCUGAAUAGGGUGAAGCCAGAGGAAACUCUGGUGGAGGCUCGUAGCGGUUCUGACGUGCAAAUCGAUCGUCGAAUUUGGGUAUAGGGGCGAAAGACUAAU
rnacentral:rRNA from 1 species